GACGAAUGUUGGCGGCGUGUCUAAGGCAUGCAAGUCGAGCGGACGAUAUUUUGUAGCAAUACUAAAGAUCGUUAGCGGCAAACGGGUGCGUAACACAUUGGUAAUCUGCCUCGCAGUCGGGUAUAACUCGCCGAAAGGCGUGCUAAUCCCACGAUAUUCUUCACGUGUUAGUAACGUGCAAGGAAAGCAGUAAUGCGCUGCGAGAGGAGCCUAUGGCCUAUCAGCUAGUUGGUGAGGUAACGGCUCACCAAGGCUAUGACGGGUAGGGGAUGUGAGAGCAUGAUCCUCCUCACUGGAACUGAGACACUGUCCAGACACCUACGGGUGGCUGCAGUCGAGAAUAUUCCCCAAUGGGCGAAAGCCUGAGGGAGCGACGCCGCGUGUGCGAUGAAGGCCUCGGUCGUAAGCACUUUACCGUAGGAAGAACCUUAGACGGUACGUCGGAGAAUAAGGGUUAGCGUAACUACUGUGCCAGCAGCCGCGGU
rnacentral:rRNA from 1 species